ensembl:lncRNA LINC02199 long intergenic non-protein coding RNA 2199
AGGAGCAAGUGCAAUCCCUGGAGACGAGUCGAAGGGGCCCGAGGCCCCGAGAAGGGCAGGAUGCGAUGCUGGGUGUGUGACCUCAGCCAUGGAAGGGCCACCUGCCACCGGGGGGCUGGGCCGUCGGGCCUUUGGUUGUGGAGGGAAAAGAGUGGCCACUUGCUGGAGCUGGGAACGUGCAGUGAUGAGCACUAGGACAAGAGGACCGUGACAAACAGACAUAGAAGGACAGCAUUGAGUUCAUUGCCUCAAAAUUGCUGCGCUCUCCUUCUGCCAGUGCCCAGAGAUGCUCCCCACACCACACUGCACUGCUGGGGGAUGUUAGAGGUGAUUCAAGACAGUUUUUCCUACCUCUUCAGUGCCUCUUUCAGCAAUAUGAAGUUAAAACCAGAGGAAUGAUCAGUGGAGCCUUCUAUUCUGCCACCUUUCUCUGCCUCUCUCCAAUCCUCUUACCUUUUUCACACAGCCUUCGUGGUUAUCACAGAGACUUAAGAUG